CAUCCCCAGGUAAGCCUCCAAAGCCCGCCCCGUCAACAAUGGCUCCAAAUGAUAACUCGACUCUUCCUCGGGCCACCUCCAAGUCCUUGCCAGACAUUCAAAGAAUUGAAGAUAAGUCUCAAUGUCCUCCUCCAGUUGGUAAGCAGGUGUUCUCGGUGGGUCGCUCACCAUCCUCAGCUGGCUUGAUGCUUGGCUUGCUGGUAUAUCUGUGCUGUGCACAGGUGCGGUUCUCGAAACAGCUGGCAUCGGAAGAUCCAAUCCCAAGCUCCAGCCGACACUAGGGGUCUCAGCAGAUCUGGAAGACUGCAGAAUCACCUCUCAUAACUCCCAAAUCUCUAGCAGAUGUUCCUCCUCCCGUUGCAUGUUGAGGAAGUGACGCAUCAGGCUCAGCAUUCCCUCCUUGGAUGUUGAACCCAUUGCAUCAGCCUUGACUUGCAGUGUGCGGGACUCGGAUGAAGCUCUAGGAACCACCUCCACCUUGGCAUCCUCUGCGACUCCACGGUGUCCCAAGACGUAUCCUCCUCUGCAAUCGUUUUCACCCGGGAGUGCAAACCAGCUCGGGUUCUUCUGCCUUUCAGUGCCAUCUUGCGGGUAGCCAUACCACCUCUGCCACCAAAUGUCACAAAGCGAACCUUAGGGACUGCUUUGAGUAGUGUGAGGGUUAAUUUGAGGAAAGAAAAGGAUGGCUCUCCCCACAAUAGCACUGUCAUUUUCUCCCUCAUUAUCAGUACAGUCAUUCCCCCUGCAAAUAACAAAUGGUUUCAUCAGACUUUGCGUACAGUGCACCGGCACACUGCCAACAAUGACGUUAUAUUCUGGCGCUGCUCAGUGGAUCAGUUUGGCUGGCGCAACCCUGAAGUCUAACUCCACCAGGACACGACACACAAUCACAUAAUAAAACUUAACAUAUAAACAAAAUGUAUGUGUGCAUUUUGUAUGCCUGGGAUAGAGAACUGCAGGAAGUGUAAUGUGGUGUGUGGAACUGUUCAUGGGCAAUCAGCUGCAUGUGCACCCGCUCCGCCGACUAAACGGAGGGGAAACUAAAUGGAGGGGAAGAGAGAUCAGCGUGUUAAGCGUGUGUGUGUGUGUGGUAAUGUAAGUGUGUGCGUGUUUGUGCUGUACCCAGCAGAGAUGUCUACUUUAUCACAAUACAGCUCACAGUAAUGUUAGACAUUCCCAUUACCUUUUUGAAAGUUAACGAUAACAUAGCAUUGCAACUGUUGACCAUGAUGUAAUACAGAGAGUGGGUUAACGUUAACUACAUUUAGCAAGUGUUUUGGACAAGUCGAGCUGUAGUAAUUAGCAUUGGGAGGAUGGGUUAGGGCUGUGUUUCUUCAUGUAUUCGGUGAAUGUUAAUGCAGGGUAACAGGUGCAGACAGUCAGUGGCUAAUAGAACUUUGCUAGCUCAGUAAUGUCAAGGCCAAAAGUUCUUCACAAGGUUAACGUGACAGGGGUUUAGGUUGUACUGCUUUCCACUAUCUCUGUAAUGUUGGUUGUUAAAUGUACUAACACACUGUGUUGAAAGCAACACAAAAUGUAUUGUCCUUAACUAGACAUGCAGGUGUGUUAAAAAUUAACACAAGAUUGAGUGAAGGUUUGUAUCAAUAUAUUUAUCUAUAAAACCAUUACUGUACACUAGAAAAAGCAAAAAUGUGUGAUAACACUCCAGUUUACAUAACAUUAAAUUACCGCUAUCUUCGUUAGCUUUGGCUUACUUGUUUGUAACACCCACUGGAUUAUAAAUUGGCUACUCAGUUUUUUGGAUGUUUUAAAUGUCUCCUUUGAUCAAAAUCAUUUUUGUGUUAAAUAUAUGACUUAUUGGAGUUAUUUACUGCAAAGACUAUAUAUAAACACCACUUUAGCAACUCUAGCAAUACAUUUCUGAACACCUUCUUGUGUAUAAAUAAAGAUGAUACCACGUUGAUAUUUGUUUAUAAAUGUGGUAUAUUUUACAUUUGCAAAGGGUAAAAAUAAUCUGGAAAAUAUUAACCCAUUUCUGAAAUAAAAUUAACCAAACAUUUUUGUAAAAAUGAAACUAUGCUUUACGUUGAAAAACAAUCCAUUUGCUAGGUUAAAACCAACAACCCAACUUGAUGGGAUAAGUUUAGUCCAAAAUGUGUUCUGUCCUAUACCCUGAGACCCAGAAAUUUAUUUUUAUUUUUAUUUAGUUUUUUUCUGAUAUAAAUUAAGUGUUGGGGUGGUAAUAAAUAUAUUGCAAAGGUAACAAUUUUUAAACUUAAUUUGAUUCAGAUUUUACAACAUGUCCACUUUAGUGGACAAUAGGACUUCGUUGUUCUCAUUUGGGAAAUUUUACAAAUCUGCACAUGUACAUGGAAACAGCCACUAGAUUUAUCCAGUAAAAUACAACAACUUGUAUAGAACAAACAGUAAGUGUAGAUUUUCAUUUCUUUUGUAUUGAACUUCAUCAAUUCAUCUGAACCUUUUGUGAUUUCCACAUUAGACAUCUGACUCCAGAUGGUAUUUCAUGAAGCAUUCUGAUUUUUUGGAGACACAGAGGAACAUGUUUCACUUUAUGCAUCUCACAAAUGUUUGCUUUUAUAUCCAGGCAUUCUGCAUCUGGAAGCAUUUGGAAUGUUGAGCAUUUGGGGCAUAUGGAUUGCACUAUAUUUCCUUAUACUCUCAUCUGUCUGGGGCUUUCUUUUUUUGAUCUCCAGAGAGAAUUCUCCAUCACUGGAGUCAGUGUCAUCUUGUUGAUAUGCCUGUGCCUGUGAUAUCAGUUCCUCAGCCGAAAAUAGUUUGAACUCUAAGUAUUGGGAGGUUUUCUUUGCAGGUCACUGCAAAGCCUGGCUGUCUUGUCGGUAUUGAAUCCAUGAGUUGGUGUUUGCCAAAUCAGUAAAGUGAAGCAUGGAACAAACAGUCCACUUCUUGGUGUGUCUGGACAUUCUGUAGCAGCUGAGCAUUCGAUUACAGAUGUCAAUCCCCCCCUUGUUGCUGUUAUAUUCCACUACCACUGCAGGUCUUGUGACUUGGACUUGCUUAUUUUGAUUUUUUGACCAUCUGGAACAGGUAUCCUGGGGCUCAAUUCCAUGGAUGGUUGAUACCAUAACAACAGGCUUGUUGUGCAUCCAUUUGGCUAGAUUCUUUCUAGAAGAGUCUCCAGAAGCUUGAUGGUGGUAAUAUACCGGUCAACUUACACCAGUGUUCCUCUGGGACCCGUCUCAGUCAAACGCAGGACUGCUUUUGCCCCUAUUCCCAUUUGCUGGUCUUGAAUGAAGGUGUUCUUUUCCUGGUAGAUCUCAAAAUCCAAUACAAGGGACACUUCAUCCAGCUCUGCAUUGUGGUCCACCUCAUCUAAGCCCUCUGAGCUAUCACUCUCUCCUAUGUCUCCUGUGUCAUCCUCUAUCCCUGGACUAUCAUCAUCUGAUAGAUCUAUGUCUGAAUCUCCCUCAAUUAUUCUAUUAAGAAGCCUCUCAGCCUCUGUCAAAGAACUGUGUGCAAAGAAAAUGUGAAACAAACAUAAGUACAAAGUCCUGAUGUCCACUACAGAGUACAUUUAUAAAUGAGCCGUUUGUGUUAUGAAAAUAAAUACGCUCAGUUUUGAAAACUC